ACAAUGAAGGAUGUGCCACCACUCAGCUCUCUAUGUGCGGAGCUGCACAGAAAUCUAAAAGAACUCUGCUUCUCCUCUGGUUUUGCUUUGUAGGGGGAGAAGGCAGCCGUGUCUGAAGCCAGGCCGAUGAUGACCGUGGUAGUUGGUGCUUGCCCAAGCCCUCCUUUACACUCUUAUCCCUCCUUCCUCACUGUGACUCUGUCUCUGCUCAGUCAGCACAACCGGAAGUUUCAUUCCAGGAGCGCUGGUGGUGCAGAGGUUCCUUGGCUGCCCUACUAACUAAAUUGACAGAAGACAGAGUAAGGAGCUACCCAGAGGGCUGCACGGUCAGGAUCCAUGCUGUGGCCGUGUUUCUUCUGGAUGCCUGAUUUGGGCCACGUUGUCAUGAUUCCAUCAGAGGAGUGAGCCUUUUGCAGGGGUUUGAGCAGAGGAGAGACAUGACCUGACUCACUGCUGUGAUGAUGCUUGACCGUGGGGAGCUGAGGUAGAACAAGGAAGAUCAAUCAGAUCUUCCACAGACUUCAUAUUUAUAUAUGCCUGGAUUAGUCUUCCCAAGCAAUCCUGAGUAACCCCUGGCCCUUUCUGGAGACCCACUGCAAAGUUCUCCUUUUAAGAUUUCUUUGAAUCCUUUUUCUUCACUUUUAAUGAGCUUAUCACUUCACUGCAAACACAGUUCCUUGGUAAGUCAUUUAUAGCACUUGCUACAAUAUUCAUGUCUAUUGCUUUCUCAUAUGUUAGUCUCCUCAGUGAACAUGUAAACUCCUAAAGGACAGGGACAGUGUCUUUCUCAUAUUUGUAACUUUAGUACCAAGUAUAGUGUCUGUCAACUAAGUAGUUAUUAACUUCCUUCCAAUGAAUGAAUGAAUGAACGAGUGACUCUGGUGUUGCAUUGACAACACCCACAUUAUCUGGAUCAUCUGGAUUCUGCCACCAAACUAAUCAGAGAGGGAUUGCUGAUCAGCCUAUCCCACAUUCUCGGAUUACUUGUUGAAGGAGUGCUGUAGAAAUGUGAGUAUUUUGUCACACAUAGGUGGAGCUAAAACAUUUAUUCCCAUAGGCUCGGCUAGCUGAGCCUGACAAAACUUGUUGGAAAGGUGUUAGGAGAAGUGAGGAAGGAUUUGGAAGAAAAGAGCAGUAGGAACUAGACAGUAACAUUGCUGGAAAAUAAAGCUCUCAGGUAUUCCCCUACUCCAA